rnacentral:lncRNA from 1 species
AAACAAGGCCUCUUACAAUGACAGGUUUCCUUGAAGGAUAAUAAGGUGACGGUGUUGGUGGUUUAGUUGGUGGCUUUGCUGGUGGUGGAGAAGGGGACUUAGCUGGUGGCUUAGUUGGUGGCUUUGAUGGUGGUGGGGAUGGAGGCUUAGCUGGUGGUGGAGUUGGGGGCUUAGCUGGUGGGGGAGAAGGAGACUUAGCUGGUGGUGGAGUUGGAGUAUCUAUUGGUGAAGGGGCUGGGGAAUUUUUUGGGGGGGGGUGGUGGCCCUUGUGAGGCUUAGGGGCUUGGGCUGGUGGAAGGUGGUCAACAUUUUUGUCUAAUGAGUACCAGUGAUCACCGUGGCUAAGAACUGCGAAUGAGCUAAGAAAUAAGACUGAAAGCUGAAAAAGAACAAGGGCCUUUGCCAUUGUUGCUAAAUUCUUCUCAACUGAACUAAGUGGUGUGUGUAAAGGGAAGCGAGAGCCAUGUAUUUAUAGGGGCAGAAUUAAUAGUAGCUUGUUUGGUCAGCUUCUAAACUCUCUUUAUUUUUUAUAAUUAGAAGUGAUCUGUUUACAAAAGGUAAUGUGGAGAGUAAUAGUUUGUAUUUGAAUAAUCAAUUUAACUACGUAUUAUUUUUCUCACAACAGUAAAGCAUCAAUUUGUGUUUGACUAAGAUUUCAAAAGUAUUUCUGAGAAAAAAACAAAUGUCAC